rnacentral:rRNA from 1 species
UACAGGGGGUGCAAACGUUGCUCGGAGUCAUUGGGCGUAAAGCGCGCGUAGGCGGUUGCUUAAGUCGGAUGUGAAAGCCCUCGGCUCAACUGAGGAAGUCCAUCCGAGACUGAGCAGCUUGAGUACGAAAGAGGGUCGCGGAAUUCCCGGUGUAGAGGUGAAAUUCGUAGAUAUCGGGAGGAACACCGGUGGCGAAGGCGGCGACCUGGGUCGAGACUGACGCUGAGGCGCGAAAGCGUGGGGAGCAAACAGG